UCAGGUUAAGGAAGAACUUGAGGACCAUCGUUCUGCUGAAUGACUUCGAAAGCAUAAGACGAUUCUGCAACACGACAGAAUUAUUGUGCCGUUCCACGGUGUUUACACUAUUUCGAGAAAGAAACCAAGAGCCACAGAAGACGUGGUGAUUGGUAACUUCUUCAUCCCUAAGGGAACAGUUGUUCUUCCUAACAUUUCGGCAGUGCACCGCGACCCCACAUUGUGGAAGAAUCCAAAUAAUUUUGAUCCGCAGCGUUUCCUGGCUGAAGAUGGGACUGGAAUCCUAAACAAGCCGGAAUAUUUUAUUCCAUUUUCUAUUGGGCGUCGAGCGUGCCCAGGAGAUACGUUCGCCACAAUGGAGAUCUUCCUGAUGCUGUCACUUCUAGUCCAAAAGUACCGUAUUGUGCCUGAACACCCAUUAGAGUACAAUCGGGACUCAGCGG